rnacentral:rRNA from 1 species
GACGAACGCUGGCGGCGUGCUUAACACAUGCAAGUCGAACGAAGUGGCGAACGGGUGAGUAACGCGUAAUCAACCUGCCCUUCAGAGGGGGACAACAGUUGGAAACGACUGCUAAUACCGCAUACUGAAGUCUGUGCUUUCGGCUGAUUAGCUAGUUGGAGGGGUAACGGCCCACCAAGGCGAUGAUCAGUAGGCGGUCUGAGAGGAUGAACGGACACAUUGGGACUGAGACACGGCCCAGACUCCGACGGGAGGCAGCAGGGGGGAAGCGUCCGCAAUGGACGAAAGUCUGACGGAGCAACGCCGCGUGAGGGAUGACGGCCUUCGGGUUGUAAAGCUCUGUUAAUCGGGACGAGGUACCGGAAUAGAAAGCCACGGCUAACUACGUGCCAGCAGCCGCGGUAAUAC